rnacentral:rRNA from 1 species
GACGAACGCUGGCGGCGUGCUUAACACAUGCAAGUCGAACGAAGAGCGAUGGAAGCUUGCUUCUAUCACUCUUAGUGGCGAACGGGUGAGUAACGCGUAAUCAACCUGCCCUUCAGAGGGGGACAACAGUUGGAAACGACUGCUAAUACCGCAUACGAUCUAAUCUCGGCAUCGAGGAUAGAUGAAAGGUGGCCUCUACAUGUAAGCUAUCACUGAAGGAGGGGAUUGCGUCUGAUUAGCUAGUUGGAGGGGUAACGGCCCACCAAGGCGAUGAUCAGUGGCCGGUCUGAGAGGAUGAACGGCCACAUUGGGACUGAGACACGGCCCAGACUCCUACGGGAGGCAGCAGUGGGGAAUCUUCCGCAAUGGACGAAAGUCUGACGGAGCAACGCCGCGUGAGUGAUGACGGCCGUCGGGUUGUAAAGCUCUGUUAAUCGGGACGAAAGGCCUUCUUGCGAAUAGUGAGAAGGAUUGACGGUACCGGAAUAGAAAGCCACGGCUAACUACGUG